rnacentral:rRNA from 1 species
CCGCAGCUCGAGUGGUGGUCGCUAUUAUUGAGCCUAAAGCGUCCGUAGCCAGUCUGGUAAAUCCUUGGGGAAAUCGAGCAGCUUAACUGUUCGAAGACCGGGGAGACUGCCAGACUUGGGACCGGGGGAGGUCAGAGGUACUCCGGGAGUAGGGGUGAAAUCCUAUGAUCCUCGGGGGACCACCAGUGGCGAAGGCGUCUGACUAAAACGGAUCCGACGGUAAGGGACGAAACCCUGGGGCGCGAACGGGAUUAGAUACCCGAGUAGUCC